AAACCAUGAUGAAGACAUUGUCGCAAUAAACUCUUAAAUUUAUCUCAUACUUCAAAUAAUGAUUCUCCAUCUACUUGAGCAAAGCUUAUAAUUCUAUUCCUCAUAU